ACACAGGCCCCAUUCAAACUCAACACAGGCCCCAUUCACACAGGCCCCAUUCAAACUCAACACAGGCCCCAUUCACACAGGCCCCAUUCAAACUCAACACACGCCCCAUUCAAACUCAACACAGGCCCCAUUCACACUCAACACAGGCCCCAUUCACACAGGCCCCAUUCACACUCAACACAGGCCCCAUUCAAACUCAACACAGGCCCCAUUCAAACUCAACACAGGCCCCAUUCAAACUGUACACACGCCCCAUUCAAACUCAACACAGGCCCCAUUCAAACUCAACACAGGCCCCAUUCAAACUCAACACAGGCCCCAUUCUAACUCAACACAGGCCCCAUUCAAACUCAACACACGCCCCAUUCACACUCAACAUAAGCCCCAUUCAAACUCAACACAGGCCCCAUUCAAACUCAACACAGGCUUAAUUCAAACGUUACACAGGCCCCAUUCAAACUCAACACCACCCUUGCCGAGUCCACUAUUGAGUUAGUUGUCUUUGUAACAACAGCAGUUACUGUUGCUUCUGACAGCUAUUCCUGUUCUCAAAGUACAUCACCUCAUUCCAAUAUGGACUAAAUGAUUCAUUAAUCUAAUAAAUCUACUUAAAACAUCUCAAUAGUCUAU
ensembl:lncRNA